CAAGACCAAAACCUAGUCAUCUACCAGAGAGCUGGAGGAGCACUGCCCUAGAGCUCUGGUGCGAACAGCUUGCUCUCUGUUACCAGCUCUGUGGCAAAGAGGAGACGUGCUCAGAAAUCACUUAGGCAUAAAGGAAGCAAGAAAGAAGUUACAAAAACAUCAAGAAAGUUGGUCUAGGGGCAAGGAAUGCUGAAGACAGUGAUGAGAUCACUGUCACAUAAAGCCGGAUGGUCAGAUACAGCAGGUCAUGAUCUCGCAGUUCGUGGGUUUGAGCCCCAACGUCCAAUUCUGCGCUGGCAUCACGGAACCAGUGAAAAAGAAGAUAGCAGAUCGCAUAUUGCAAAAACCACUCAAGAUGGUUCAAGAAGAUACUGAAACCUGGAAAAGUUCUCAGCACUUUAUACAAAUAAAGUUUCAUUAAUCUCUUA